AGGAGGCGUGGCCGCUGGUGCUUGCUUGCCCUUCCGGGCCCGCGGGCGCGUCCCGACUUAAGAGUCUUGCAGUCCCUGUGUAGGGAAGUACCGAGAAACAGCAAGGAAGGGAAGGCACAUGCUCCGUAUAGGGUGGGUUAUUUUUCUGCUCUCUCCUGAUAAGGAGGCCUUGAAAGGAUCUCCUGGGCUGUUUUUCAGGGAAGGAAGGUGGAAGGAAGGUGGAAGGAAGGGGGGCUGGGUCCCCCCCAAACGUGAGUGUGCAGCCAGCACCUCCCUAGAGAUGUCUCCUCCUGCUGUCAACCCAAAGUGCCAUAUGCGCGGCGCUCCCCGAGAUUCUGGCAUCCUGUCUCGGAAGGAGAUUCACAGGAGACCGGUAAAGUCCGGUUCCAGCCCAGACAAGGUGCCGAGCUCCUUGGGUCGAAGAUAGUUCCAGUGACAUCUAAGGAGCAGAUUCUCAUGUCCAGAUCAUGAUGUAAAGGCUUCCUGCUUUCUGCACGGCAAGAUCUUGAGAGUCUAUGGAGUACAAGGUACACAGUAAGCACUCAGCAAAUACCUGAUGGAUUAAGUCCUUUAUGCAAAGUGAGGCCUGCUCCCACUGAGAACUACUUCCAUCCAUCUUAUUAUCUUGAGCUUUUCAUUGAGGAGUUUUGAAGCUGGUAAAAUGAGGAGAUGUAAACUAAAAAGGCAACAAACAUGGAGAUUAUAGACUAACUUUAGGAGGAUCUCAAAAUUCACUAACAAUGGAAUUGGGAAGACUAAGAUGUUAAAAGGAAACGAAGAUAAGGGAAGGAGGAAGGAGAUACGGAAGGUGGAAGGAAAAAGAGGGAAAGAAGAAAGGGAGGGAGGAAAGAAGAUGGAAAAAAGGAAAAGAGGAAAAAAAUUCAAAUGAAAUUAUUGUAUUUUUAUUCCAGUAAGUGGCUGGGAAUAGUAAGGAGAACAUAGAGAACUGGAAAAGGGAAGGAAAAAUAACUCAGCACAAUGAAAGAGUAAAAACAAUGACAGAGUGUUGGACAUGAGCCAGACGAAGUACAGACGUUGCAACGUUCUGGAAUAUGGAAUCGGCGGGGGCGGGCGAUUGCAGUGACAGCAUCUCUUAGGAGAGUUUCAAAUACUUGUAUGAGGCCAGGACAAAUGACCAAAUAAUGGACUGUAACGGCAUCUCCCCUCCCUCCCAUGGGAGGGAAAACCUGGAAACGUGCAGCAGCUUCAUCCCUCACUUGUCUAGACGAAACGGUUUCAACGUCAGAAUCCAUCACCAUAUUCCAAAAGUAAAAGAUAAGGAAGACUGUAUCCUAAAAUCUUUUACAACAUGUUUCAAACUUAGAAUUAUUUAUAGCUACUGAGUCUUAUCCUUGCUAAGGCCAUCCAUAAUUUCUUUGUUGCAAAAUAUAACAAAAAUUUCCUCUGCAAGGUUAGAGGAAUUUUAUCCUCCCUGUCUGGUAUUCCAGUUUCAUUCAUUCUUGGACUCCUUUUCCCCUGCUCAGCUCUUAGGGGUUAGAGCUCCCUGGGUGAUCUCACACAUUUUCC